rnacentral:rRNA from 1 species
GAGGAAUGUAUAGCAAUAGCUACUUGCAUCAUUGUAGAAAUGAUGCAAGAUCGACUAUGUCGAAUAAAAUUCUAGGUAGAAUUAUGAUAAUGACAUUGUCUGCCUAUGUGUCUUGACCAAAUUACGUGCCAGCAGUCGCGGUAAUACGUAGAAGACUAGUGUUAUUCAUGUUUAAUCGGUUUAAAGGGUACCUAGACGGUAAAUCAAGCCUAAACUUAUAUGAAGGGACUAAUUUACUAGAGUUACUUAUGAGGGGGUAUUAAAGUACUGCUGGUGUAGAGAUGAAAUUCUGUCAUACCUCUUUUCAAUAGAAAAAUAAUGGCACAGGUAUAGGCGAAAGCAUCCCCUUAUGUGAUAACUGACGUUGAGGGACGAAGGCUUUGUGUAGCGAACAGGAUUAGAUACCCCAGUAGUCAAAGCAGAAAAUGAUGAAUGUCAUAGAUUAGAUAUAUAAGUUUAUUCUAUAAAUGAAAGUGUAAGCAUUCCACCUCAAGAGUAAUUUGGCAACAUUGGAACUGAAAUCAUUAGACCGUUUCUGAAACCAG